GAUUUUUUUUAAUAUCUCACUCGCAACGGGGCCUCGUGUAUCAAUCGCGGCAGUAAAUGCGACAUCACUAUACAAAAUUUCCGUCGACGUAAUCUUAAUUAAAAAAAAAGUGCGUAUCAUCUGAAUUCUGAAGUAUCGCGUCUACAUGCGUAAGCCGCUGCUCGAAAUGCUGCUCAAACCUCCGCGCCUAACGAAGAAAACAUUCCAUGAAAUAUUGAUAAGAUAUUAGAUAUCCUUCUUUUAAUUUUUAUUUCCAGAUUUUUUUCGUCUUUCAAGCAGACCCGGACGUCCCUUUAAUCGCAAGAUCUUUGUUGUAUUAAUGUAUAGAAUUAUUUCUGCUCGACAAAUAAGUGUCCAGGUAGGCACGGUUACAUCGACUUUACAGCAGCGAGCCUUUAGAUUAAAACUUUGUUGCAGUAAUCACAGUUGCAGAAAUCGGUAACGUACGAUUGUGUCAUCUAUUUUCUUCCCUUGGCUGCAUCUAUUUCAACACGUUACAUACACAUCUAACUCUGCGAUACAUUAGGUUUUGUAACGACGUGCUAGACAAAAAUAAGACGCGAUAUCAAGAAAAUCGUCAAUGCAACAGAGUAGCAACUUUGAACUUUACCUAGAAGAUAACAAAAAAAAUUGCAGAUUGCCGCAUACGGCUUAUUAUUGCGGAAGCAUGAAAAUAGAAGUAUUUGAAUAACUGAAAACAACGUUAUAUAAAAUUUCAAAGAUUUACAUACUUAUUGUACUUAUAUUAGAUCUAUUAUAAGAUGUCGCGAUUGCAGGUGCAUUAUCUGCCAGACUGCGGUCGCAAAAAGAUACGGUCUGUUAUCGGACUCGUUUGAUAUUUUUAGACGCUGAUACAUUCGUAUCCACUCAUUCUUAAUAAAUCGGUGGAAAAUUUUCUGGACUAUUACAGGAUAUUUUAAUCAGGCUCUGUUACCUUCAUAUCCCCUGACAUCUGAUUAUUCGAAUGACAUUCGAAGAAUAAAUUCAUAUUAUGAGAAAGAAUAUAUCUUGUAUACAUCUAUCGAUGUAUAUCUAAGCAAUUCGACAAGAGGAUUAUAUAAUAUUAAUUGUUUCACUAAUUGUUCCGCUAAUGAAUCAGUGACAAGUCGACGACCCGGAUGCGAUACGAAGCGACACAGUGUGUUUUGUUUAUUAUUACAACAACGAUGUCAUACGCGCUGCAUUUCGUUUCCCUGCAUUAUCUCCUCGUGAUUUUACGUCAAACCGGUAGCGUCAAGCCAGCUAACAUAAAUGUCGAUUUUGCUGAUUGCGCAAAAGUAUGUACAUAGGCGACGCGUAUCAUAGUCCAUAUUCCGUUCCGCGGCUCUUUAUACCCGCGAAUAUGCGUCAGCCACUUGCGCUCGGAGUUUAUCAAUUCGGCUUAAAAGUUGAUAAAGACCGAACAAGACCCUCGAGCGAGACACGCGUGCGUCGCAAUUAUCGCACAACCCUCCCCUUGUCCCCGGCGUGGUGGAGAAGAAAAAUCCUCUCCCUGGCGGAGACGGCAAUAAUUGUCGUGAAUGACGCGUGAGAUUCCUUAUCUCGGCGACGCGUGACGUUGUAUUUAUCGUAUAAAAUACCAGACGUGCGCGGCUCAGGCAUCAGUACUGGUUCUUACCUCAACGCGAUCAAAUGAGGUACAAACAAGGGCGCAGCACAUA